CCUCAUCCCACGCUUCCUCCUCAUCCUCAGGCUCCACGUUGUUGUUGCAGCCUCCCAAUUCCUCCUCCUCUUUGGGGACUCCAUCACUGUUCAGCCCCUGCAGGAGCGCUACCACUGCCUCCGGUUUGGGCAGCUUCGUUAUCUUGAAGUGUUUCUUAUAGUGGGGCGUAUCCUUGCGGAUGAGCCUCUGUUUCUCCACUGGGAACGGCCGCUCUUCAUCUUCAUCUUCAUCCUCGCUCCUUAUCAGUGUGUCCUCAGCAAAGUGUACAGUGGGCUCAUUGUAUUCCACUUCCACGUCUUCAUCCUCCUGGACAACCGCUUCCUUAUGCUCUUCUUCAGCUCUCGGCUUGGCCUCCUUCUCCAGCUCCUGCAUCUCCAGCACCUGCCCGUUUGGCCGGCUCCUCUGCCUUUCCUCUCCCUGCUCCUCUGCCCUGCAGUCAGCAGAGACAGUGCUGUUGGAGAGGUGGGAUUCCUCGCUGCGGUUGGAUGUGGCGCUCAGCCUCUUUUCUUCUGAGCUGGAUGAAUUCAGGUCUGUACCAGGUUUUGCAGCACAGACCUCACUGCGCCGAACUUCAAUCACCUUCUUCAUAACCUUCAGUUCACUGGGAUGAGGGGUUGCUCUGCGCUGUAAGCCC
rnacentral:lncRNA from 1 species